UACAGGGGGUGCAAGCGUUGCUCGGAAUCACUGGGCGUAAAGCGAACGCAGGCGGACCGUCAAGUCAGGGGUGAAAGCCCGAGGCUCAACCUCGGAACUGCCUUUGAAACUGACGAUCUUGAGUACGGGAGAGGUGAGUGGAAUUCCUGGUGUAGAGGUGAAAUUCGUAGAUAUCUGCAGGAACACCCGUGGCGAAGGCGGCUCGCUGGACCGCAACUGACGCUGAGGAACGAAAGCUAGGGGAGCAAACAGG
rnacentral:rRNA from 1 species